AUUGUAAAUGCCUUUGCGAAGAAUAGGUAACGGUGAAGUACGGUUAAUUGUAUAACACGUGCUUAACAAGUAAAAUAAUCGAAGUGUGUAAAGUUUUCUUGGCACUAACAAAAUUCAAUGAUUUUUGUUUUUCGUUGUUCUUGGUUGGUUUUUUCAUUGCUUUCGCAGCUUUUUUUGCAUCACAUCUCUUGAAAUACUGUAAGUAACCAUCCCUGAUUCAAAAAAUAUGUUGAACUGAAGUAAAAAGUAAAAAAUUUUGCUGCGGAAAGUGAAAAAGUGUAUUUAUUUUCAAUGUGUAAACUAUUUCUUGACAUACUGUAAGUAGAAAAACUAAACCAAAAAAAUAUUUACUUGAAAAGGGUCAAUUACCAAGCAUUAAAAAUAAAAGAAACAAACACUAGAAACAUGUGUAAAAGAAAUUGAGCAAAAAUUGGACAUUCAAUUAACGGGAAAAACACUAAGUACAGGUGAAAUCGAACAUUUUAUACUCUCUAAAUUGCGAUUAAUCAUUUUAUUUUAUUAAUACAGUGGAACUUCCAUAACUCGACCUUCUAUAAGUCGAAUAUCUCCAUAACUCGAAUUUUUGAAUUGGCAAUAGCAUUUAGAAAUCAAAUAUCAUACAAAUUUGCUGCCAUCACUCAAACUUCUAUAACUCGAAGUUCUCCAUAACUCGAACUUUUGAAUUGGCAAUAGAAGUCAAAUUUCAUACAAAUUUCCUUCCAUAAAUCGUACUUUUCGGCCAGGGCAUAAUACAAAAUUUAAAAUUUUUCUAUCAAGGAACAAUUUUAAAAGAGUCCCUCUAUAUCGUACGGAGGCGAACAAAAUAUAUGAUAUUAUACUUAUAGAUUGCAUAAAUCAUGUAACAAAGACAUGGGACACAGACGUUAACAGCCAAACAAUAGCAAACUGCAACCAACAAAAUUACAGAAUGCAUUAACGUAUGUAAAUAAAACUUCAUGCGAAGUAAAUAAAUAAAACUGGGUAUAAAUCCAAAUUUUACAGCUUUUUGAAAAAUGCAUGUUUUAAUGAAAAUUCUAUAACUCAUACACAUAACACAUAUUCGUCAUAUAUAUGGUAUAAAGUGCAUUGAAAGUUAGUAACCUUAAUAUUAGGUACAUGGGAGCUAGGUGAAGUUAUGACCCGAUUUUACCCAUUUUUGUCACUGAGACAUAUUAUUAGAUGAAAAAUAUUCCCUAUAAAUUUUAAACUUAUGAUCUAAUUUCGGUUUUUAGAAGGGCGAUGCCACACUAUAAAUGCAGUAUUUGUGCAAAGUUCAGUUCCGAUAUCUUCACUAGUGCUUACUUUAUAUAUUGUAAAGUCAAGGAUUCAGAUUGACUUCACAGUUCCGGUAUAUAGAAGUAGGAGUUGUUAUGAACCGAUUUAGCCUUUUUUCACAACAUAUUAUGGGGAUGGCAGGAAAAUAUUAUGAACCGCAUUUCAUUGAAAUUGGUGGAUUAGUUUCUGUGAUAUGGUGAUAUGGACCCAUAAGUGGGAGGAGUCAAUUUAAAAUGUUGUAUACCAAUUUUAGUGCAGCACUUAUAUACCAUCUUUGUAAUGAAAUUUCAGGUUUUUAAGGAUUUUUCCUUACUGAAUUAAAGCAUUUUUAGUAGUUUUCAACAUAACCUUUGUAUGGGAGAUGGGCGUGGUUAUAAUCCGAUUAAAAGAAAUAGUUUUAGAAAGUUUGGUUGAUAUACCUUUAGUAGUUUACGAAAUAUGUACAAAAAUUACAUCCAAAUAUGCCCCUUUACAGUGCGAUCCUUUGUACCUAAUUUUACUUUCAUAGCUUUAUUUAUGGCUUAGUUAUGGCACUUUAUGCCUUUUCGUGUUCCUCCAAUUUGGUGACGUAGCAAUGGUCCGAUUUAGCCGUCUUCGAAAUCAAUCUUCCUAUGGUGCCAAGAAACACGUGUAUCAAGUUUGCACAGACGGACAGACAGACAGAUAUCCGGAUUUGAACUCUACUCGUCACCCUGAUCACCAAGGCCGUAGCCAGGGGGGCCCCUAGGUCAGCGGCAAAGGACUAUCAAAAAAUUCUCAUGCCCAUACAUUUUGAAUGGCGCAUACCGCAAUAACGCGACGGCGACGCUGAGCGGUUGAAAUUUUCUAUUUUGACAGAGCGUUCCGAAGUAAAGUUGGCUGCGAAAAACAAAGUUUCUCUGUACAAUAAAUUUUCACAUCAACAAUUCAAGUAAACAUUUUGAUAUUUGACGUAAAGUUGCCGCUUUUAUUUAGGGAUGGCAGUAACUGAUAAUAAUAUAAUAAAAAUGGACAUUAGAACCUUUUGUAAUAAUACUACAACGAGGUUGAAGAGGAGGCUGAGCUUAAAUGAUAGCAGCUCAAGUGAAGAGAGCCACGCGGCAGAUAUGACGGCGGAUGAUUGCCAUGCCAACGAUAUUGGCAAAUGGGUGGCUUUAGUCGGUACGAUGAGUGAGGAGCAGAAAAAAGAACUGUUGUUUAGUUGUUGGAAGCCCGACCAAAAUUAUAAUUUUUCAGCUGAUGCAACACACUUGAAGAGAAAAUUCAAUUGGUCAUGGUUAGAUAUAUACAAACCAUGGUUGGUGUACUCGCGCAGGCUAAAGGGCGCUUUUUGUCUUUAUUGCGUGCUGUUUAAGCCUCUCAACAAACCUGGCGUAACUUCCUCGUUUGUUGUACGCCCUUUUAUAAAAUUUAAAAAUGUGCAUGAGUACUGCAAAGCUCAUGCAUCAAGCAGUUUGCUUAAAGAAGCUACGCAAUCAGCAAUGCCAUUUUUAAAUGAAACUCCUGUCGAUUUGCAAAUGCAACGGGGUCAUGCAAAAAAAUUGAACAAAAUAAAAAAAAAAUUAUUAAAUCCAUUAUAAAUACAAUUUUGUUUUGUGGAACGCAUGAUCUUCCUUUUCGUGGCAAAACGAAUGAUGAAGGCAAAUCUAACAGAUUUAUAAAAGUUAAAAACUAUAUUUCAUUAUUUCACUUUUUCAAAGGUAUUCUAUAUGAUCUGCUUAUGAUGAGAGUAUCAGUUGGUUUAAUGCCUCAUAAAAAGCAAUUUGGAGGAUGGCAAACAAAACGCAAAGUAUACUAGUCCACAAAUCCAAAAUUAAAUUUUGGACAUUUCGGCGAAAGUAAUUAAAAAUUACAUCUGCACAGAUGUUAAGAAAGCGUCAGCGUACAGCAUCUUAGCAGACGAGACAGCAGACAUGGCUGGAAAGGAACAACUCUCGAUAGGAAUUCAAUUUUUUGACAGCAGAAAAAAAUUAUCCGUGAUGAAUUUAUUGGAUUUAUGGAAUUAGAUGCAAUGGAUGCAGCAACAAUUGCAGCCAACAUCAAAGGAUUUGUGGAAGGUUUAAACUUAGAUCCUGCUAAAUGUGUUGGGCUUGGGUUUGAUGGAUGUGCUACUAUGGCCGGCAAUACUAGUGGGGUGCAAAAAAUAUUAAGAGGUACAUUCCAAAAAAGUUGUUAUAUGUUGUUAAUGACCUGAAUUCAGUCUCUGAAAUACGUAACAUCAUUUCCACCAUAAAGGAUGUAAUUAAUUUUUUCAAAGAGUCACCCCUUCGCAGAAGAUACGCUCCGAAUGUACAUUCUUUUUGUGAAACACGCUGGUCGAAAAAGUACAAAAGCAUCGCUGAUUUUAAAAACUUCUAUUGUGAUAUAAUAGAUGGAUUGGAAAAACUAAGCACAGAAGGAAACGCUGGCCAAGAAAAUUUGCAUUCCAACUUCACAGUGCUGCAACUGAAAGCGUUUUUCUUAUUUGUAUGUUCAUUAUUGCCAAAUAUUACAGCAUUCUCCAACCAGCAGUGAAUAUAUUGCAAGCCAAGAACAAUGAUGUGAUUAAAUGUAGAGAUCACAUCAAUAACAUUUUAAAUUUAUUUGAGGAACAUCGAGAGACAUCUGCCAGCGAAUUUGAAAAGAUUUUUAGAGACUGUGAAAAGUUAGCUGAGAAUUCAUCGCUCAAUAUAAGUGUGCCCAGAGUCGUCGAGAAGCAAACAAAAAGAUCAAGUCCUCCAUUCACGACAACAGCAGAGUAUUACCGCCGGGCAAUUUUCAUUCUAUAUUUGGACUCUUUAAUAACAUCUAUUAGAGAACGAUUUCCUAAAGAAAACACUCCAACUUUUGAUCUCGCAGCCUUAAGUCCACUGCAUAUGAAAACUAUCUCUCUAAGCGAAUUUAAUGAAAAAGAUUUGCGUGCAAGCUCUUUUUACAAUAUAAAAGAUAUUGAAAAUGAGCUUGAACUUUAUUACAAAUAUUGGAAAGAUAAGGAAGGAGAUGAGUUAGAUUUAAUAUGUGCUUACAAUAGCUCAGAUUUUUAUCCGAGGAUAAGGGAGGGACUUGAAAUUCUGUUCGCAAUUCCCUACACAACUGCCACUGUUGAACGGUCGUUCAGCACUCUCAGAAGAGUAAAGACAUGGCUGAGAACAACAAUGGGAGAGAAUCGGUUGAAUGGCCCCACCGGGCUUUAGUCAAAGAGAAUCAAGCGGAAAUGGAAACGAAAAUUCUGGAGGAGUUUUCAGCGAAUCCAAGAAAACUUUUAUUAGCAUGAAAGCCCCACCCUACAUGCGGACCUGGCUACGCCCUUGCUGAUCACUUUGAAAGUUAGUGGGAAUUCGUGUCAUUUUCGUUGGCAACAUUGUUAAACAUGGCCGCUUUUUAUCUAUUGUGAAUGAAAAUGUUCAAUACUGACAGCUGGUUUUCAAUGUAAACAAAAGGAAAAAGUAAAGAAAAAGUAAACAAGCAAAAAUGACUUUAAGAAAGCAGAGAUCCGGAUGGUCACUCAGUGAUGAAAUUGAGCUAAUUGAUAGGUGAGAAGCGCAUUCCCAAGAUCUUCGCAAGGCAAAGAGGAACGCGCAUAUUUAUCAAAAUAUGGCCCAGGAAAUGGGCAAUAGAUACACGGGUGAGGAGAUUCACUGCAAAGUGAAGAAUUUGGCCAAGGAAAUACAGAGAAGAAAAGACUAAAAUGGGCCCAUCUGGCGGUAGCCCUUCUGAAUGGAAACACUACCAGGCAGUGCAUCGAAUCAUCGGGUCCACAGCCGUAAAUUCCACGACGUGCAUGUCGUCCUAUCAUAUGAAUUCGUUAUCUAUUCAAACGCCUCAGCAACCAUCCGCAACCUCUGCACUGCCAGCUCCGUCAUGUGUGGUGUCGUCACCAACGUUCAUGUUGGCGUCUCCAUCACCUCCACUACCGUCUCCAUCGCCUUCGCUACCGUA